UGUCCGCUUAUCAUUGUGGAUCUAGUUCAGCACUUACUGCUGGGUGGAACAUUUCUGCCUCCCUUUGGUUCCCUGGGGAAUGUUUUGAUCAGCAGGAUUACAAGACCACUCCUUCUUCCUGUCUUAGAAAGAAAGCCUUUUCCUGUAUCUCAGAUGCCACAUGUUAGCUGUCUGCAUAGGAUUUCAUGGAAGAUGUCUGCAGAAAAUCCCUAAAGCUUAAAGUUUGUACCCCCCUUGGCAAGUGGAUCGAGUUUUCACGGUGCUAUGGUGCUAUGGUGCUAUGGUGCUUACGAUAUUCAUAUUUACGGUGCUCAAGGAGAUAAAGAAAAUAAUAUUCAACCCUGCUGCGCACCUUUGUUCCGAAAUAAUAAAACUACUGCACCCGUCAGAAGCUCUCCUCUUGUUAUUUAUUCGAUGCCAAAGGGGCCGUAACAGUGAAAACUCGUCGCUGCGGUGGAGACUCGACAUCACCAGCUGCGUCGCUGUCUUCAUCGAACUAAAGAAAGCCUUUUCCUGUAUCUCAGAUGCCACAUGUUAGCUGUCUGCAUAGGAUUUCAUGGAAGAUGUCUGCAGAAAAUCCCUAAAGCUUAAAGUUUGUACCCCCCUUGGCAAGUGGAUCGAGUUUUCACGGUGCUAUGGUGCUAUGGUGCUAUGGUGCUUACGAUAUUCAUAUUUACGGUGCUCAAGGAGAUAAAGAAAAUAAUAUUCAACCCUGCUGCGCACCUUUGUUCCGAAAUAAUAAAACUACUGCACCCGUCA